rnacentral:rRNA from 1 species
UGUCCGGAAUAUUGGGCGUAAAGGGCUCGCAGGCGGUUUCUUAAGUCUGAUGUGAAAGCCCCCGGCUCAACCGGGGAGGGUCAUUGGAAACUGGGAAACUUGAGUGCAGAAGAGGAGAGUGGAAUUCCACGUGUAGCGGUGAAAUGCGUAGAGAUGUGGAGGAACACCAGUGGCGAAGGCGACUCUCUGGUCUGUAACUGACGCUGAGGAGCGAAAGCGUGGGGAGCGAACAGGAUUAGAUACCCUGGUAGUCCACGCCGUAAACGAUGAGUGCUAAGUGUUAGGGGGUUUCCGCCCCUUAGUGCUGCAGCUAACGCAUUAAGCACUCCGCCUGGGGAGUACGGUCGCAAGACUGAAACUCAAAGGAAUUGACGGGGGCCCGCACAAGCGGUGGAGCAUGUGGUUUAAUUCGAAGCAACGCGAAGAACCUUACCAGGUCUUGACAUCCUCUGACAACCCUAGAGAUAGGGCUUUCCCUUCGGGGACAGAGUGACAUGUGGUGCAUGGUUGUCGUCAGCUCGUGUCGUGAGAUGUUGGGUUAAGUCCCGCAACGAGCGCAACCCUUGAUCUUAGGUGCCAGCAUUCAGGUGGGCACUCUAAGGUGACUGCCGGUGACAAACCGGAGGAAGGUGGGGAUGACGUCAAAUCAUCAUGCCCCUUAUGACCUGAGCU